UCAGUAAGAAGUUAUUGAGAAAAAAUACGAUUUCUUCUCUCUUGACAGAAAAAAUUUCAAACAGGAUAACAGCUGAUUCAUCAAUACAGCUGAUUCAUCUUUACAGCAGAUAUAUUUUGAUGAAGUUUAUUUGCGUUUACAUUUUCAUUACAAAAAAAAAAAUAGUAAUAAAAAACGUAUGCUCCUUCCAUGCACAAGGAUACUGUCUUAAGAAAUAGAUUGGCUAAAUUAGUUUGUUUGUUUGUUUUCAAAACAACUGGUUAUUUAGCAGCUGAUGUUACUGGAUUAUACCCAGUAAGAAUUUGCAAACUCUCCGUAACUCAAACGUCAAAAUGUCUUUCUCAUUUCGUUCUCACUUGUUGGACUUUGGGUUAAACGAGCAGCCUCCAAUAAAAGUGUGUUCAAGUUGGUACAAAUUAUCGAGUAAACGAACACACCUAUUAACAAUUGGCCUGAGUUUCAAAAUCUCAAUGAGGUCCAAUUAAAAGACAAUGGUAUUAUCGCCUGUAUAAUAACAUGGUAUUAUCACUUUUUGGAGUAUUAUCGCUGAUAAUCUCAACAAUGACAUUACCUGUAAACAUACUAGUAGAAUGGUGCCUAGAAAAGGUUACAAAGUUUAGUAAAUUAUAAUGCAACUCCACAUAAGAGAUUUUCUGCGAAAUCUGACACAGGCA